GGAGCUGUAGUUCAGUCGUAGAAUGUGACAUUCCAGUUUAUUUCGGAUUCGUCAAGGUCGUCCGUUCAAUCCGGGCCAGCUUCA